UUGAUCUCACAGCCCCGAGAUCAUGACCUGAAUGGAAAUCAAGAGUUGGAUGCUUUAUUGACUGAAUCACCCGCGAGCCCCUUCCAUCCCACUUUUAAUCUUCUGCGUUAGUUUCUCAAGAAUAGUAUGUACAACAUAACUCUGAGAGAAGAGGCUCUGCAAAAGGACUCUGUAAUAGAACACUGGGAACACUCUGGAUGUUGGUGCUGUCUGUAUUUAUGCAAGUCAGUGAAGCUGUUUCAACCACAAUUUUCUAUUCUGUAAAAACAAGGAGUGUGAAAGGAACACAGGGAAAUUUUUGGAAGUGCUGGAUAUGUUGAGGACCUUCUUUGUGGUGUUCGUGCUAUGGGUAUAUGCAUAGGUCCAAGCUCAUGAAAAUGUACACAUUAAAUGUUUGUAAAUUUGUAUGUAUCAUUUAUACCUUAAUAAAGCUAAAAAACCCCCAA